UGAUCCACAGACAGUUGAGUUGAAAUGGAACGAUGCUGAUGUCGAUGGUCUUGUUGAUUUUCUUGUCACACAAAAAGGCUUCAGCGAGGACAGAAUCCGGUCAGGAAUUACCAAGCUGCAGAAAGCACGCAAGACUUCAGUUCAAGGCAGACUCGAUGGUUUUUUCAAAGUUAUUUCAACAACACCGAACAACUCAAAUAAACGCAAAAAUGACAGCAAGAAGACGAAGGGACCCGCGAGUAAAAAAGCGAAGUCAGGUAACUUUGGUAAACGAAGAUGAUAUCAUGGUUUGAAAUUUUUGAUUUCGUUAAAACAUUUGAUAUUUACUAUUUUUGGUGCGAAAAAAUGUUGUUGAAGUAGUUAUACUGGUGAAAAGGUUUUUUAUAACGCUUUAUGCCUGUAUAUAAAAAUUCUAUGGCUAUGCCAUAUCAGGGGGGGGGGCUGAAGGAAAGCAAGUAGAAACGUGAUAAUUUGUACAUUUUACAAACUGCUGCUAUAUAUAUUUCAAUUUUAUUUGUAUAACACUAUGAAAUAUAGUCCACGCAUUUUGUAGAACCAUUGAGUUAAAACAUUUGAAACUAUCCAAUAUUAAAACUGUAUUUAUGGAUAUUUUCGU